GUGCCAGCAGCCGCGGUAAUACGUAGGGUGCGAGCGUUAAUCGGAAUUACUGGGCGUAAAGGGUGCGCAGGCGGUUCUGCAAGUCAGGCGUGAAAGCCCCGGGCUUAACCUGGGAAUGGCGCUUGAAACUACAGGACUGGAGUAUGGCAGAGGGAGGUGGAAUUCCACGUGUAGCGGUGAAAUGCGUAGAGAUGUGGAGGAACACCGAUGGCGAAGGCAGCCUCCUGGGCCAAUACUGACGCUCAUGCACGAAAGCGUGGGGAGCAAACAGGAUUAGAUACCCCAGUAGUCC
rnacentral:rRNA from 1 species